rnacentral:lncRNA from 1 species
AACAGAAAGGCUCAUUUAUUAAAUUGAUUGUUGCAUUACAAAGAACAUGAGACAAAGAUUACAAGAUGUGGAGCUAUCUAGUAGCAACAGCCAGUUCUUGACCUUGCAAUCAACAUCUUACUUAUUCUAUUUAAUAUAUACUGUUUGAAGCAUUGAUCUGGCAAAAAACAUCUAAAACAUUAUGUGGAACUAUCUAGUAGCAGCUUCAUUCUCGACCUUGCAAUCAACAUCUGAGCCCUGCAUAUCAGUUUAUCUACAACAUCAAAGAAAUGAGAUAAAUAACUUAAAUUACAAAUAAUCAAAUUGCUACAGCAGUAAAAUUUGGAGGAGCAACAUACAAAGGUGAAGGCCAUGCAUAAGUAAUCCCGCUACAUCUAGUGAGCGGCAUGUUCUAAACCAUCAUCAUUUUUCCACCUUGUAUAUUGAAUGGAUGACGGAAUACUAUGUGCAUUGUGUUAUUACUGCAAAAAGAAAAACUAACAUAAACCAAGAAGAUAGAUUGAUCAUUACACACAUUUAUAGCCUAUUAAAAUAUACAGCUAUAUUAUUUGCUGAGUUGCAAACACAAGAACCAUUAAGGAGAAAAAUAAUUGGAUUAAAAAAUUUAAGAAUUAAUGAUGCAGUAACUCUUAUCCAUUUUUAGAUACACUAUAUAUUCGGAAACAAUAGACAAGAAAGGAUGAUGGAUGUAUAAAUUGUACAUUUAGCAGUAGUAACAGGAAGAUAUACAAAAAAGAAAUAGUAGGGUCAAAAUAUUUUGUGAAACUGUAUGGGAAAUGUGUGCGCACAUUAUGUUAGUCUGUCACUAAAUAUCAUAAGUUUAAGUUGUAGUAUAUUAUCAUACGAGAAAGUCAAAAAAGGAAGAAUUUCAAAAGCUAGAGCAAAAUAUAUUACAUGUUCAUACGCUAAAAAUCUUACCAUCUUAUACUUUUACAAGAGUGCAGCUUAGCUAUCAUUAUGUUGUCCACAGAUAAAAAAGUUAGGGUACCCCCAGAAGUGUUCUCUUGUACAAAUAAGGAUAAAAAAAGAAUUUGCAAUAUUGAGCUAUUAAUAAUCCGAUUUCCUUUGAACCAUGGAAGAAUCGUUGAUGCAAUAUAGAGCUAACAAUUACGAAUUACCUCAUAGCAAAACUAGCUUGCUACAUACUAGUAGUUAGCUAGGUUCAGUGCCAAUAACAUUGACCUGGAAGUCUGGAACAAAUCAAUUUUUUUGUAAC